rnacentral:rRNA from 2 species
UGAGGAUUUGAUCCUGGUCCAGGACGAACGCUAGCGACGUGCUUUAAGCAUGCAAGUAGAGCGAGCCCGCAAGGGCAAGCUGCGAACGGCUGAGUAACACGUAGGAACCUACACUUUGGUGGGGUACAGCUCGCCGAAAGGCGGGGUAAUACCGCAUGACCUCGUGCUUUGCACAAGGAAAUUACGAAUAACACAAUAAAUUCCAAAUAACAAAUUACAAACAAUUAUCAAUUAAUAAAUAACAAAUAAUUAACAUUGUUUUUUUCAUUGAAAAUUGGAACUUGAAUUUUGUUUGUAUAUUGGAAUUUGUGAUUUGUUACAAGUGAUUUUCUCGCGCAGAGUGCGAGAAAAGGAUGUAACUGUCCGCCGAAGAAGGGGCCUGCGGCCUAUCAGCUUGUUGGUGGGGUAACGGCCUACCAAGGCUACGACGGGUAGGGGGCGUGAGAGCGUGUUCCCCCAGAAUGGGACUGAGACACGGCCCAUACACCUACGGGUGGCAGCAACUGGGAAUCGUGCGCAAUGGACGAAAGUCUGACGCCGCGACGUCGCGUGUGGGAUGACGGCCUUCGGGUUGUAAACCACUUUUGCCAAAGAGUGAUUACUUUGGAGAAUAAGCACCGGCUAACUACGUGCCAGCAGCAGCGGUAAUACGUAGGGUGCAAGCGUUGUCCGAAUUUAUUGGGCGUAAAGAGUUCGUAGGCGUUUCCUUACAUCUUGUUUCAAAUACCGGAGCUCAACUUCGGGAAGGGGCAAGAGAUGGAGGAAAUUGGAGAGUGCAGGGGCUACUGGAACUUGCGGUGUAGGAGUGAAAUCCGUUGAUAUCGUAAGGAACACCGAGGGCGAAGGCAAGUAGCUGGGCACACCUUGACGCUGAGGAACGAAAGCUAGGGUAGCGAAAGGGAUUAGAGACCCCUGUAGUCCUAGCCGUAAACGAUGCUCGCUAGGGAUUUGCCACGCAAAGGAUAUGUCCUUUGCGGGAAUUUCUAAGCACAAAUAUCUAAAUUCUAAGUAAUAUCCAAUUUCCAAUUUUCCAAAUUCAAAACAGACUAAAGUGUUAUGUAUUUGGAGUUUGGAAUUCGAGAUAUUUGAAUUUGUUUAGGAUUUCGAAUUUGGGAUUUAGAGUUUCCACGCAAAAACGACACAUUUUUUGCGUGGUGAGUCCCGUAAGCUAACGCGUUAAGCGAGCCGCCUGGGGAGUACGAGCGCAAGCUUAAAACUCAAAGGAAUUGACGGGGACCCGCACAACCAGUGGAGCAUGUGGUUUAAUUCGAGACGAACCGAAGAACCUUACCUAGACUUGACAUGCUACCGUUUUACUCUGAUAGAAAUAUCGGGGGAUCCUUCGAAAGUUGGAUGGUAGCACAGGUGUUGCAUGGCUAUCGUCAGCUCGUGUCGUGGGAUGUUCCCUUCAGUGGGGUAACGAGCGCAACCCCUGCCGUAUGUUAAAUUAUUCAUACGGGACUGGCCAGCUUAGCUGGCAGGAAGUGGGGACGAUGUUAAGUCCGCAUGGCCCUUAUGUCUAGGGCAACACACAUGCUACAAUGGAGCCGACAAUGGGUUGCCAAGUGGUAACACGGAGCUAAUCCCAUCAAACGGCUUCUCAGUUGGGAUUGAGGGCUGCAACUCGCCCUCAUGAACGCGGAAUUGGUAGUAAUCGGAAAUCAGCUAAGUUCCGGUGAAUACGUUCUCGGGUCUUGUACACACCGCCGAAAUUAAAACGCGCGUGGCAGUCAUAUUUUCUAACAAGUUAAAAUCUUGUCUUUGUUGGAUAACUUUAAUUGUCUAAUGGAGUAGCCAAAAAAAUAUAUAAGCAGUCCUAGUCGGGUAACUGACUAGGGUGGAGGGCUUGAGGCAAAGAACAGGGAUAGAAUACAAAAAGAUAGACGACUUCUGUUGGGCGGUCAGAAGGAAGUCGUUUUUACAAAUCUUACUAUUCAUGUUUGGAACAGAAAGUAUGAUGACCCAUGGAGAUCCUUACAGGAUUGAGGUAAUUGCCUGUAAGGAAGUCAGCUUUUCCAUAAUAGGUAAUUGAGCAAGUCUGACUUGCUUGACAUUUUCGGGUUAUAUUUGUAAUCUGAAAUUACAAUUACUGAAGGGAAAAACGUAAAUGUUAUUAACUCCAGAUUAUAUAGUUGGUCUUACUGAAGGGGAAGGAUGUUUCUUAGUAUGCUUGAGACGCGAUAAUCGGAUUGAAUUUCGAUUUUUUAUAGCUCAGGCAAUAGGGAAUAGACCUCUUCUUGAAGAAAUUAAAAAGUUUUUCAAAGUUGGAAGUGUUUACCAAAAGUCUAAUGUAAAGGGAAAGUUACCGGCAUAUGUCUUUGAAAUUUCGAAAAGAGAUGACAUAUAUAAAGUACUUAUUCCAUUUUUUCAAAAAAACAAAUUGAAAGGCAUUAAAUCUAAGUCGUUUGCAGUUUUUGAAGAAAUUGCAAAAUUAGUUAAAGGUAGACAAGAUAAACGUAAACUAACUUCUGAAGAACUGAACUACAUAACCAACUUAAGAUUUGGAAUGAAUAAACAUUACGGCUCGCUAAGUGCGGAAAAACCGCUCGCUUAGUGGGAACGCGCAAUAGCCUUAAUGAAGCGCAAUCCGUCAAGUUAGUGAAGUUGGGGGCACCCGAAUCCCGGAUGUUCCGGGGCAAGGUGAAACCAGCGACAAGAAUUAAGUCGUAACAAGGUAUCCGUUCUGGAAGGAGCGGAUGGAUCACCUCCUU